CAAGGAAUAGUUUAAUUAAAAUUUUAAUUUUGGAGAUUAAAGAUAAGAGUAUUUCUUUUCCUUGA
rnacentral:tRNA from 1 species